UGGGGAAUUUUGGACAAUGGGCGCAAGCCUGAUCCAGCCAUGCCGCGUGAGUGAAGAAGGCCUUCGGGUUGUAAAGCUCUUUCAGUUGGGAAGAAACGAUUGCAACUAAUAAUUGUAAUUAAUGACGGUACCGACAGAAGAAGCACCGGCUAACUACGUGCCAGCAGCCGCGGUAAUACGUAGGGUGCGAGCGUUAAUCGGAAUUACUGGGCGUAAAGGGUGCGCAGGCGGUUUUGUAAGUCAGAUGUGAAAUCCCCGGGCUUAACCUGGGAAUGGCGUUUGAAACUGCAAGGCUAGAGUGUAGCAGAGGGGAGUGGAAUUCCGCGUGUAGCAGUGAAAUGCGUAGAUAUGCGGAGGAACACCGAUGGCGAAGGCAGCUCCCUGGGCUAACACUGACGCUCAUGCACGAAAGCGUGGGGAGCAAACA
rnacentral:rRNA from 1 species